rnacentral:sRNA from 1 species
UUCAGCACUUCCGGCCUGACCCCUGUCCAGCGCCUUUCCUUUCUCCAGCUUCUGCUCUGCCCCAAGAGUGGUCGCCUUCGUGGCAGGGCACGACUCUCUCCCAGCUCGGGUCGCCGCCCACAUUAGUGUGGGGCCCUGCGGCCUAGCGUCCCUCACCAGAGGCCUCCCCUUGCCCAGCUGGACCGCCGAGAGACAUCGACGAGUACCCUCCUCCUGCUGUCCCCGGCUUCGCCUGCCGCCCCUAACCGGCCAGUCAAGAUGGCCGCCGCUGGGUGAGGCAAGCUGGCGCGCCGCGGGGGCGUCUGGGAGUUGUAGUUCGGGACGGCGGGCUGACGCACUUCGCCGCCGGCCGACGGGCGCCAUUGUGCGGCGCGCGCCGGGACUCUGCCCACUUCCACCAGAGACACAUUGAGAAGGAGGAAACUAUGGCCUCCAGGCUUCCGACGGCCUGGUCCUGUGAACCAGUGACCUUUGAAGAUGUAACACUGGGUUUUACCCCGGAAGAGUGGGGACUGCUGGACCUCAAACAGAAGUCCCUGUACAGGGAAGUGAUGCUGGAGAACUACAGGAACCUGGUCUCAGUGGAACAUCAGCUUUCCAAACCAGAUGUGGUAUCUCAGUUAGAGGAGGCAGAAGAUUUCUGGCCAGUGGAGAGAGGAAUUCCUCAAGACACCAUUCCAGAGUAUCCUGAGCUCCAGCUGGACCCUAAAUUGGAUCCUCUUCCUGCUGAGAGUCCCCUGAUGAACAUUGAGGUUGUUGAGGUCCUCACACUGAACCAGGAGGUGGCUGGUCCCCGGAAUGCCCAGAUCCAGGCCCUAUAUGCUGAAGAUGGAAGCCUGAGUGCAGAUGCCCCCAGUGAGCAGGUCCAACAGCAGGGCAAGCAUCCAGGUGACCCUGAGGCCGCGCGCCAGAGGUUCCGGCAGUUCCGUUAUAAGGACAUGACAGGUCCCCGGGAGGCCCUGGACCAGCUCCGAGAGCUGUGUCACCAGUGGCUACAGCCUAAGGCACGCUCCAAGGAGCAGAUCCUGGAGUUGCUGGUGCUGGAGCAGUUCCUAGGUGCACUGCCUGUGAAGCUCCGGACAUGGGUGGAAUCGCAGCACCCAGAGAACUGCCAAGAGGUGGUGGCCCUGGUAGAGGGUGUGACCUGGAUGUCUGAGGAGGAAGUACUUCCUGCAGGACAACCUGCCGAGGGCACCACCUGCUGCCUCGAGGUCACUGCCCAGCAGGAGGAGAAGCAGGAGGAUGCAGCCAUCUGCCCAGUGACAGUGCUCCCUGAGGUAAGCGGGGAGUAUCACCCUGUUUUGGUCACAGCAUCUCCUGUGAGGCAGGCCCACCCCUGAGGCAUCCACUCUGCCCUGGGCUUUCCUAAGACCUCCCACAGGCUGGGACAUUCUGAGAUUCUGAGCUCUUAGGUCUGUGCUGAAGCAAUCUGAGUAUGAAGAGCAGCCCUGCCCUCCAGCCACUGUGGCAUCACUGGAGACAACGCAUGGUGACCCGGGAGCUGAGAAAGCAGGAGGCAAAAGGGAAGGGACUAAGUGUUUACAGAGACUUGAGAGGUGGAACUACCACAGGCAGGCACAUCUGUAUCCAGGUCAGAACAAGAGAGCCCUCAACCUUCAGAAAUGCAUACUUAGGUAUUUAUCUUU